rnacentral:SRP_RNA from 1 species
GCUGGGCAUGGUGGCGCGUGCCUGUAAUCCUAGCUACUCGGGAGGCUGAGACAGGAGAAUAGCUUGAACCCAGGAGGCAGAGGUUGCAGUGAGUUGAGAUUGUGCCACUGCACUUCAGCCUGGGUGACAGAGCAAGACUCCAUCUCCA